GGCUAUCUCGGUGGGCGUAGCAGGAGGCAAGUCGAUUGUCUGGUCUGGAGCUGGGCGGUCACAGCUGACCCUUUACCAGCGUUCCUGUCAUGCUGAUUAAGGAUGAAGACAAAGAUAGACUGACCCCAGGGGUCGGACCACCAGACCAGGUCUGCAGACCCUGUUUUUGGCCACCGGUCACUAUGGGAUUUGGAGUGACGCCAGCAUCCUGGGGCUUCGGCCCUCCCCCUUGGGAACACCCCCCAGGACUCCUUCCUCGUGCUUCUCUGGCCUGCAGACCAUAAGUGGGCGAAAUAAACUCCACCUUCCCUCAAA